rnacentral:rRNA from 1 species
GACGAACGCUGGCGGCGUGCUUAACACAUGCAAGUCGAACGGAAAGGCCCUGCUUUUGUGGGGUGCUCGAGUGGCGAACGGGUGAGUAACACGUGAGUAACCUGCCCUUGACUUUGGGAUAACUUCAGGAAACUGGGGCUAAUACCGGAUAGGAGCUCCUGCUGCAUGGUGGGGGUUGGAAAGUUUCGGCGGUUGGGGAUGGACUCGCGGCUUAUCAGCUUGUUGGUGGGGUAGUGGCUUACCAAGGCUUUGACGGGUAGCCGGCCUGAGAGGGUGACCGGCCACAAUGGGACUGAGAUACGGACCAGACUCCUACGGGAGGCAGCAGUGGGGAAUAUUGCACAAUGGGCGGAAGCCUGAUGCAGCAACGACGCGUGCGGGAUGACGGCCUUCGGGUUGUAAACCGCUUUCGCCUGUGACGAAGCGUGAGUGACGGUAAUGGGUAAAGAAGCACCGGCUAACUACGUG